ensembl:rRNA 5_8S_rRNA 5.8S ribosomal RNA
AACUCUCAGCGGUGGAUCACUUGAUGAAGAAUGCAGCUAGAUGCGAGAAAUAAUGUGAAUUGCAGAACACAUUGAUCAUCAACACUUCGAACACACUUUGUGGCCCCAGGUUCCUCCCGGGGCCAUGCCUGUCUGAGGGUCG